GGAGCUUGCUCUUCUUGGAUGAGUUGCGAACGGGUGAGUAACGCGUAGGUAACCUGCCUUGUAGCGGGGGAUAACUAUUGGAAACGAUAGCUAAUACCGCAUAACAAUGGAUGACACAUGUCAUUUAUUUGAAAGGGGCAAUUGCUCCACUACAAGAUGGACCUGCGUUGUAUUAGCUAGUAGGUGAGGUAACGGCUCACCUAGGCGACGAUACAUAGCCGACCUGAGAGGGUGAUCGGCCACACUGGGACUGAGACACGGCCCAGACUCCUACGGGAGGCAGCAGUAGGGAAUCUUCGGCAAUGGGGGCAACCCUGACCGAGCAACGCCGCGUGAGUGAAGAAGGUUUUCGGAUCGUAAAGCUCUGUUGUAAGUCAAGAACGAGUGUGAGAGUGGAAAGUUCACACUGUGACGGUAGCUUACCAGAAAGGGACGGCUAACUACGUGCCAGCAGCCGCGGUAAUACGUAGGUCCCGAGCGUUGUCCGGAUUUAUUGGGCGUAAAGCGAGCGCAGGCGGUUUGAUAAGUCUGAAGUUAAAGGCUGUGGCUCAACCAUAGUUCGCUUUGGAAACUGUCAAACUUGAGUGCAGAAGGGGAGAGUGGAAUUCCAUGUGUAGCGGUGAAAUGCGUAGAUAUAUGGAGGAACACCGGUGGCGAAAGCGGCUCUCUGGUCUGUAACUGACGCUGAGGCUCGAAAGCGUGGGGAGCGAACAGGAUUAGAUACCCUGGUAGUCCACGCCGUAAACGAUGAGUGCUAGGUGUUGGAUCCUUUC
rnacentral:rRNA from 1 species